UUAAACACUAUGAUGAGAAGAGUAAGCUUUCUAUCAUUUUCAGAGAGAGGAUUUAUUAGCUGGAAGGAUCCUUAAAUGCAUAAUGGCUGAAGACCACCUCAGAGUGACUCUAAUAAAGUCCGGUAAUUACGUUAUAAUUUUUCAAGUGGCUUAUAUUAUAUAUAGGCAAUUUGGGUGGAACCGCGGGAGAAGUAUACACUCUCGUCCCAUAU
rnacentral:ncRNA from 1 species